CGACUCUCGGCAACGGAUAUCUCGGCUCUCGCAUCGAUGAAGAACGUAGCGAACUGCGAUACUUGGUGUGAAUUGCAGAAUCCCGUGAACCAUCGAGUCUUUGAACGCAAGUUGCGCCCGAAGCCAUUAGGCCAAGGGCACGUCUGCCUGGGCGUCACGC
rnacentral:rRNA from 3 species